GGGCUAGUUCCGGGGAGCGGGGCCAGUUCCGGGGAGUGAGCACUUAACGCAGAGUCAGAAAGCUGGGCUCAGGUCUCCUGCUGUCCCAGCUGGGGGCCCCCGGUGUCCUCAUGUGUAAAAUGAGGGCUUCCAGGCUCCCAUCUCUCUAAGAGCCCUUCUGUCCAAGGCUGUGGCCCGAGGUCAUGCACAUUGUGGCAGGUGAUCUGGCCCCUUGGGAGGUUGACAGGGCACAGCAUGCCGCAGAGGUGGGAAAGGCUGGCAGAGAAGAGCUGUGAGCACCUGGAGCAGGGCUUGGGCUGUCCCCUCCCCUCCCCUGCUCGGGGUUCUUGGGGGGCAGUGUACCUUUCAGGCCUCCUGGAAUCUCCAGCCAGUGGAGGAGGGGUGGGUGCACUGCAGAGGGACACAGCCUCCCCAAGGGGACCCUGGGCCUACGGGUGGCCAGGCCUGCCUCUGUUCCUCCACCUCAA